GACGAACGCUGGCGGCGUGCUUAACACAUGCAAGUCGAGCGGUAAGGCCCGUUUCGGGGGUACACGAGCGGCGAACGGGUGAGUAACACGUGGGUGACCUGCCCUCAGCUCUGGGAUAAGCCUGGGAAACUGGGUCUAAUACUGGAUAUGACUCCACGGUGCAUGUCGGUGGGGUGGAAAGCCUUGUGCGGCUGAGGAUGGGCCCGCGGCCUAUCAGCUUGUUGGUGGGGNGAUGGCCUACCAAGGCGACGACGGGUAGCCGGCCUGAGAGGGCGACCGGCCACACUGGGACUGAGACACGGCCCAGACUCCUACGGGAGGCAGCAGGUGGGGAAUCUUGCGCAAUGGGCGAAAGCCUGACGCAGCGACGCCGCGUGA
rnacentral:rRNA from 1 species